CGCACGCCCCCGCGUCCGCCGCUCGCUGCCGUCCUCCCCCGUGCGACCUCACCCCUGCUCCGCCUCUGUCCAGCUCGAUCCGGCCACCUCCGGCCACCGCCUACCUCCGUCCGGCCACCGCGUAGCCUCCCCAGCGUCCCCUCACCCUCCGCCGGCCUCCCCUUGCCGCCCUAGCCGCCGGACGAGCUUCGUCCAGCCAAGAACAAUGGCUGGAAAAAUGGGUUUCAAGCACUGUUCAAGGCCCGCUUUGGGCCGUUUCCGG
rnacentral:lncRNA from 1 species